rnacentral:rRNA from 1 species
GUCAGUGGCGAACGGGUGAGUAACACGUGGGAAACCUACCCUUAAGAGGGGGAUAAUGUCGAGAAAUUGGCACUAAUACCCCAUAAGACUACGAAAUGAGAAGUUCGUGGUAAAAGUCUUGAGAAAUCGGGAUGCUGAAGGAUGGGCCUGCGGCCUAUCAGGUAGUUGGUGGGGUAAAGGCCUACCAAGCCUAAGACGGGUAGCCGGACUGAGAGGUUGGACGGCCACACUGGAACUGAGAAACGGUCCAGACUCCUACGGGAGGCAGCAGUGGGGAAUUUUGCGCAAUGGGGGAAACCCUGACGCAGCGACGCCGCGUGAGUGAUGAAGGCUUUCGGGUCGUAAAGCUCUGGCUUUGGGGACGAGUAGAAGACGGUACCCAAGGAGGAAGCCCCGGCAAACUACGUGCCAGCAGCCGCGGUAAUACGUAGGGGGCGAGCGUUGUCCGGAAUUAUUGGGCGUAAAGGGUGUGUAGGCGGCCUUGCAAGUCAGGUGUGAAAUGCCACGGCUUAACCGUGGGACUGCAUUUGAAACUGCAAGGCUUGAGUUCGGAAGAGGAAAACGGAAUUCCUGGUGUAGCGGUGAAAUGCGUAGAUAUCAGGAGGAACACCGGUGGCGAAGGCGGUUUUCUGGGCCGACACUGACGCUGAGGCACGAAAGCGUGGGGAGCGAACAGGAUUAGAUACCCUGGUAGUCCUAGCUGUAAACGAUGGGCACUAGGUGUUGGGGGGUUCAUACCCUUCAGUGCCGUAGGUAACCCAAUAAGUGCCCCGCCUGGGGAGUACGGUCGCAAGACUGAAACUCAAAGGAAUUGACGGGGGCCCGCACAAGCGGUGGAGCAUGUGGUUUAAUUCGAUGCAACGCGAAGAACCUUACCAGGGUUUGACAUGCCGGUGGUACGGAGUGGAAACACGAAGGACCUUUCGGGGAGCCGGCACAGGUGGUGCAUGGUUGUCGUCAGCUCGUGCCGUGAGGUGUUGGGUUAAGUCCCGCAACGAGCGCAACCCUUGCUUCUAGUUGCCAGCGGGUAGUGCCGGGCACUCUAGAGGGACUGCCGUCGACAAGGCGGAGGAAGGUGGGGAUGACGUCAAAUCAUCAUGCCCUUUAUAUCCUGGGCUACACACGUGCUACAAUGGCCGGUACAACGGGAGGCUAAGGCGUGAGCCGGAGCAAAUCCCAAAAAGCCGGUCCAAGUUCGGAUUGCAGGCUGCAACUCGCCUGCGUGAAGUCGGAAUCGCUAGUAAUCGCAGGUCAGCAUACUGUGGUGAAUGCGUUCCCGGGCCUUGUACACACCGCCCGUCACACCACGAAAGUCGGCAACACCC